rnacentral:rRNA from 1 species
UACGAAGGGGGCUAGCGUUGUUCGGAAUACUGGGCGUAAAGCGCGCGCAGGCGGUUCUUCAAGUCAGAGGUGAAAGCCCAGAGCUCAACUCUGGAAUGGCCUUUGAGACUAGAGGACUUGGGUACGGGAGAGGUGAGUGGAAUUCCGAGUGUAGAGGUGAAAUUCGUAGAUAUUCGCAAGAACACCAGUGGCGAAGGCGGCUCACUGGCCCGGUACUGACGCUGAGGUGCGAAAGCGUGGGGAGCGAACGAGGAA